rnacentral:rRNA from 1 species
AACGAACGCUGGCGGCAGGCUUAACACAUGCAAGUCGAACGCCCCGCAAGGGGAGUGGCAGACGGGUGAGUAACGCGUGGGAAUCUACCGUACCCUACGGAAUAGCUCCGGGAAACUGGAAUUAAUACCGUAUACGCCCUACGGGGGAAAGAUUUAUCGGGGUACGAUGAGCCCGCGUUGGAUUAGCUAGUUGGUGGGGUAAAGGCCUACCAAGGCGACGAUCCAUAGCUGGUCUGAGAGGAUGAUCAGCCACAUUGGGACUGAGACACGGCCCAAACGCCUACGGGAGGCAGCAGUGGGUAAUAUUGGACAAUGGGCGCAAGCCUGAUCCAGCCAGGCCGCGUGAGUGAUGAAGGUCUUAGGAUUGUAAAGCUCUUUCACCGAUGAAGAUAAUGACGGUAGUCGGAGAAGAAGCCCCGGCUAACUUCGUGCCAGCCGCCGCCGUAAUAC